ensembl:lncRNA
CAACUGACUAAAAUAUAGCACAUGGGAUGUGGACUUCAGAUGUGACUCCUCAUGCAGUCCUGAGAUCCAGUAUGGUCCUGAGAUAACACAGAGUCAUAUAGAUUGGUUCUAGAUUAACAAAUCCAAACAUCAGCCUGACCUACCAAGUUCCAUCACUAAACCAUGUCUCAUUAGUGCCACAUCCACAGGUCACGUCUCUUAAACGUGUACAGGAAUGGGGAUUCCAUCACUUCUUUGGGCAGUAACAUGGUGAUACAGACAUACAUGAUCUCACAACUGAACAGAAAAAUGUCAGAUUGGUGCACUUGUCCUCUACAGGAAAGUGUUGAAGAUAUGUUGUGAAAUUUCACACCCUAACUCUAAAACUGAUAUAAAGACUUCCAGGUAAAGCACCCCCACAGCCCUGUGUUUCCCAGGCUACUUCAUCAGAAAGGAAUUUGAGAAGACAGGGCGCACUGGCUCAGCCAGGGUACAACCAGACCAGCAGUGACCUUAUUCCUAAAGAUGAUCCAGAGAGCUUCUCCCAGUGAAUCACCUUGAUGGGUUUCACACUUGAACAAUGGGGCAGAAGCUCUUCUGGGACAGCCCUGAGACAGUCCAGGGAAACCUGGAGUCCUCAGUUUGAGUCCUUGCCUACCACUGCGUCUCCUCUGGGUAUAUGAACAUUAGCCUUUGAUUGCUCCUGUGAUGGGCCUGUGAAUAGCCCCAGGAGAUGUUAAUUAGGCCCCCUUUUUCUCCCCUCUUUCUCCAUGCUCCUUUGUGGAUGUCCAAGCACGCUUUUAAGACAUAAUUUAACAAACACUAUGGCAGAUUUAGAUUCAGAGUGGCAUACUAAGAAUCAUUGAAGUUGCCUUGAAUAUUGGCAUCUUUACUGUUUAAAUGCAUAAUAAAGAUGUUUGGUUUAAUUGCAGAAGAAAAAAUGGAAGAUGUAUGACUCAGAAGCAGCAGCUGUUAAAGAUUUAACUUGUGAAGAAAUGAAACUAGGACAGAUAAAAGGAAACGUGGAAGCUUCUUUGUUACCUAUUUCAUGGGUGUCAGAUAUUAAAUCUAUAACUACUCUAAAUAAAGGACACAAUAUUGAUGCAAUAAGACUAGCUUAUCAAUAUGCAUUUGGAUUUGAUUAGGGACAUCAAUAAAAAGAACAUGUUGCGAAAGGCCACCAGAUGCCUUGAGGCAAAUAAAAAUCUCAAAUGCCAUCUUCACAGAUGAGACAACAGCUCCAAUAUUAUGCACUUCCUAUGGAUGGUAAAAGGUCCUUAAAGCUCUGAUCUAUAUGCUUCCUGUAAACUCACAUGUUGGGAGAGUUUGAAAAGAGUAAAAAGCUGUAUUAAUAUCUUUGAAUAUGGAGUGGCUUCCUCUGUGAUUUGCGUUAUGAUUGUAACUCUCUGCAGCCCAAUGAAGACAGUUUGUGCAGAAGACUUUUUAUACAUAUUUCAGAUGUGUUGAUCUGAUAGCAUGCAACAUGUGGGCAAAUAUGGUGUUAUAAUGGUUAUAAUAACCAUUUCUAAUGAAGUAACCUUUCCUUAUAGCUUUGAAGUCGAUGACCCAAAGUUUAAUGGGAUUGUUAUAUUCAACGAAGCUCAAAGAAUUAUACAGGAAAUGUAACACAUGAACAGAGAGCAUUAGUGCAGAAAAUCCAACUAUUCUAAAAGUAUGUAGAAACUUUCAACCAAGAAAGGAUCCACAUUAUACUGUUUGACACUAAAUUCUUGGACCAGAUCCCUAUCUGUUGGUAUCCAAUAAAAUUCCAAUUUAUAAUGAGAUAAGGCAGUUUGUUGUUCCCUUCUACAAGUCAUUAGCAGUAAACAUCAUGUAAAUUAAAAAGAAUAAGAAAUAGGAUCAACCACAGGCCAAAGCAGAGGCCUACAAAAUGCUUAAAGUCUGUGUAUAAGUGUGAAUAAAUAAAUUUGCAGCUCAAGAACUAGUGCUCACUUGCAUUUCUAGAAUAAUAACACUUUCCUGGAUAAAACUGAAUGAAUAAUCAAUUAUCUUUAAAAAGGAAUGCCUGUCUUACCUAGUAAAAGGCUACAAGCAGAACAUUGCCAAAUAAGAGUUUUCAUCCAUCUUUUUCUCUUUUGACUAUUUUAGAUUUUUUUACUGAUAGUCUUUUCAGUUCCAGUAAGAAUUUGGCCUGAAUCUCUUCAAUUUGCAAAUGAUAUUUUCUUAGAUUGAGGGGCUGCCUUUCACAUAGUAACAGUAAGUACUUUAGAGCCACAUCUUCAGAUUUUACCUGUAUUUCUUCUGGAGGCAAGGGUGGAGCACAAGUGCUGCAAAGGUAUUUGCCAUCCAUUGAAGCAGAAACUCUGAAGUCCCUUAAGCAGCCAGCUGGAUAGUAGGAGGUGGAGAAGGUGAUAAAGGCCUGUCACUCAGCUGCAGUGUUUGCAUUCCCAAGGCAAUUUCCCAAACAGCAAAGCACAAAAACUGCAGAGUUAAUAGUACCUGUGUAGGGUAAAGAAGAAUGGAUGAAGUAUUACAAUAUUUAGG